AAGAAGGAAUUGGGUGGACUAAAUGGACCAUGCCCCUCUCUAUCUGAAGCCUAGCAAGGUAGCACUGCUUCAGAUCAUUUCUCUUGGCAAGAAGCAUAGAGUGCCUCCCUGGUGUUGGCCAGGAGAACCCUACAAUGUUGGGAGUACAGCACUAAAGAUGGCAGCAGCAACAGGACUGGCUGGAAGAGACCCACAAAACUAAUUGGGCUGGCUGACUUAGAAGCUAGACUACAGGAAGAAAAUCAAGAUCCCUAUUGGAAUCCCAGGACCAUCGUCGGAAAACAGCUGCUCUCUGAGGGUGACACGGUGAGAGUUUCUUAGAAAACCAAUGCUCAGGCAACCAGCUACAGGUUAUGGGCCAGAGCAUGGCAGCAGAUGCAGGAAAACCCUGUGCUCCCCUUCCUGGUGAGAAUGCAGAGAAACACACAGAUGUGGAAAAGUAACCCGAAUGUCAGGUGCCAAGCUGAUGAGCAGGAAGAUGGCAGAAAAUGACAAUGUCUGAUCGAUAAAUCUUCCUAAGUGAAAAAUUUGGGUACUCUAGUGUGUCUGUAUCUUUAAAAGUGUUGUAGGUGUUUCAGUAGUCUCAAUCAAAGAUGUGUCUAAAUCCCCUAAUUUGCUUGAAAACUUCAUUUUCUAAAAAUGUAUGAAUAACUCCGCAUUCAUUGAUAGCUUUUUUCUUUUUGCCACAUCCCCAGCAACGCUUCAAUUAGUCAUCUGCACCUAUGCAGCAAAUGGAAGUAUCAUGUAUGCUGCUGAAUAUAAAUUUCAUGUUGUUUAAGUUGAUGAGGUGCAAAAUAUAUUUUUCCCCAUAAUGUGUUCCAGUAGUCACAUUAUACAACAGUGUAAUCUGAAUAUGAAUAGGAACUUAAGAAAAGAAGAGAGUACAGAAAAUUACUUGUGGGUGUUUAUGCAUUGAUAUAAUACACUGAAAGUAUUUAAGAAGUUGACAAGAGAUGACAAAGUUUUACAGAGUAUGGUAUAAUGGCAAGAUCAUUUCUCUCUUUUAAUUCCAUAUUCUUUUUUUCCUUGAACUCCAAAGAGAAAAAUAUAAAGGAAGCCAAUUGGGAUUUUGUAAACUCAGUAGCUGGGGAGUAAGAGGACUCCCUUCCAUCCUCCACUCUCUCCUUUAAGUCCCUCCUUGACAGACAGUUCUUAAAGUAGGGUGACCAGACAGCAAAUGUGAAAAAUGGGGACGAGGGUAGGGGGUAAUAGGAGCCAAAAUAAGAAAAAGACUCAAAAAAUGGGACUGUCCCUAUAAAAUCGGGACAUCUGGUCACCCUAUCUUAAAGGCAUAGUCCUCCUCCCACAAAAUAUAACAAAAAUGACAUGGUAAUUUCCUACUGCUGCUUAUCCCAUCUAUCCUAUCUCUCCUGUCUGCACCUGGUCUGUGUAAGGCCAGAUUCUGCAACCAGACCUCACUCAGAAUAAGAGUUACUCGCAUAAAUAGUUGCACUGACAUCAAUGUGACUGGUUGUGUGGGUAAAUGCUAUUCAUAGUGAUUAAGGGCAGCCCAGUCUGCCAUCUAGAUUGUAUGUACUCUGAAGCAGGCCCCUUGUCUCAUAUUUGUUUGCAAAGUGCCAGGCUAUAUAAUUCAUUAAUUAUAAUAAUACCCAAUUUGUAGCUUUAGAGCUGCACAUGGUUAUGCAUAGCCCUUUCUUCUCCAGCUUGAACAAGGCAUCACACAGAGUUCUCCUGACACUGACGAAGCAGUGCCCUGGAGAACAGAGUGACUGCAUAAAACAAAACCCAGGGACAGACGAACACCCUCCAUUACAUUUGUAUUUGCACUGGCAUCCAACCAA